rnacentral:rRNA from 1 species
AUUGAACGCUGGCGGCAUGCCUUACACAUGCAAGUCGAACGGCAGCACGGGGCAACCUGGUGGCGAGUGGCGAACGGGUGAGUAAUGCAUCGGAACGUACCUUUCAGUGGGGGAUAACGUAGCGAAAGUUACGCUAUUACCGCAUAUUUUGGGAGCAGGAAAGCGGGGGAUCGCAAGACCUUCGGCGGAUGGAGCGGCCAUGGCCAGAUUACCAAGUUGGGGAGGUAAAGGCUCACCAAGGCAACGAUCUGUAGCGGGUCUGAGAGGAUGAUCCGCCACACUGGAACUGAGACACGGUCCAGACUCCUACGGGAGGCAGCAGUGGGGAAUUUUGGACAAUGGGGGCAACCCUGAUCCAGCCAUGCCGCGUGAGUGAAGAAGGCCUUCGGGUUGUAAAGCUCUUUCGGCCGGGAAGAAAUCGCACGGGCUAAUACCCUGUGUGGAUGACGGUACCGGAAUAAGAAGCACCGGCUAACUACGUGCCAGCAGCCGCCGUAACAC